GUCAGGAUCGCCGAGUGGCCUAAGGUGCCAGACUCAAAGUUAUUCAACCUUUUCACGCAAUGAGAAUUCUUGUCAUCAGAUGGAGGCGUGGGUUCAAAUCCCAAUUCUGACA
rnacentral:tRNA from 1 species